AUUGAACGCUGGCGGCAGGCCUAACACAUGCAAGUCGAACGGUAACAGGAAGCAGCUUGCUGCUUUGCUGACGAGUGGCGGACGGGUGAGUAAUGUCUGGGAAACUGCCCGAUGGAGGGGGAUAACUACUGGAAACGGUAGCUAAUACCGCAUAACGUCGCAAGACCAAAGAGGGGGACCUUAGGGCCUCUUGCCAUCGGGUGUGCCCAGAUGGGAUUAGCUAGUAGGUGGGGUAACGGCUCACCUAGGCGACGAUCCCUAGCUGGUCUGAGAGGAUGACCAGCCACACUGGAACUGAGACACGGUCCAGACUCCUACGGGAGGCAGCAGUGGGGAAUAUUGCACAAUGGGCGCAAGCCUGAUGCAGCCAUGCCGCGUGUAUGAAGAAGGCCUUCGGGUUGUAAAGUACUUUCAGCGGGGAGGAAGGGAGUAAAGUUAAUACCUUUGCUCAUUGACGUUACCCGCAGAAGAAGCACCGGCUAACUCCGUG
rnacentral:rRNA from 1 species